CAAUAGCGUAUAUUAAAGUUGUUGCAGUUUAAAAGCUCGUAGUUGGAUUUCUGGGUCAAGCUCCUGGUCCGCCGCUAUGCGGUGCUGACUGUGUGCAGCGUUGGCUCAUCCUUGUGGGAAACUCAGUUGGGCGUUCGUUCGUCGGCUGUCGGAACCGCAUCUUUUACUGUGAAAAAUUAGAGUGUUCAAAGCAGGCUUACGCUGUGAAUACAUUAGCAUGGAAUAAUAAGAUAAGACUUGGGUCAUUAUUUUGUUGGUUUGCGGAUCGAGGUAAUGAUUAAUAGGGAUAGUUGGGGGUAUUCAUAUUUAAUUGUCAGAGGUGAAAUUCUUGGAUUUAUGAAAGAUGAACUUAGGCGAAAGCAUUUACCAAGGAUGUUUUCAUUAAUCAAGAACGAAAGUUAGGGGAUCGAAGAUGAUCAGAUACCGU
rnacentral:rRNA from 1 species